GACGAACGCUGGCGGCGUGCCUAAUACAUGCAAGUUGAGCGCUGAAGGUUUGUACUUGUACCAAAUGGAUGAGCAGCGAACGGGUGAGUAACGCGUGGGGAAUCUGCCUUUGAGCGGGGGACAACAUUUGGAAACGAAUGCUAAUACCGCAUAAAAACUUUAAACACAAGUUUUAAGUUUGAAAGAUGCAAUUGCAUCACUCAAACAUGAUCCCGCGUUGUAUUAGCUAGUUGGUGAGGUAAAGGCUCACCAAGGCGAUGAUACAUAGCCGACCUGAGAGGGUGAUCGGCCACAUUGGGACUGAGACACGGCCCAAACUCCUACGGGAGGCAGCAGUAGGGAAUCUUCGGCAAUGGACGAAAGUCUGACCGAGCAACGCCGCGUGAGUGAAGAAGGUUUUCGGAUCGUAAAACUCUGUUGGUAGAGAAGAACGUUGGUGAGAGUGGAAAGCUCAUCAAGUGACGGUAACUACCCAGAAAGGGACGGCUAACUACGUG
rnacentral:rRNA from 1 species